CUUAUCCUAGUUGAUCCCAGUCUCAUCCUAGUUGAUCCCAGUCUCAUCCUAGUUAAUCCCAGCCUCAUCCUAGUUGAUCCCAGCCUCAUCCUAGUUGAUCCCAGCCUCAUCCUAUUAAUCCCAGCCUCAUCCUAGUUGAUCCCAGCCUCAUCCUAGUUGAUCCCAGCCUCAUCCUAGUUAAUCCCAGCCUUAUCCUAAUUAAUCCCAGCCUCAUUCUAGUUGAUCCCAGCAUCAUUCUAGUUGAUCCCAGCCACGUCCUAGUUGAUCCCAGCCUCAUCCUAGUUGAUCCCAGCUUCAUCCGAAUUAAUCCCAGCCUCAUCCUAGUUGAUCCUAGCCUCAUCCAAUUUAAUCCCAGUCUCAUCCUAGUUAAUCCCAGCUUCAUCCUAAUUAAUCCCAGCC